rnacentral:lncRNA from 1 species
CUGACACUCUAAAAUAGGAGUGCAGUUCAUGUCAAAGUACAACCACUUGAAAUAUGGAAGGCUACCUGUGGCUGACAAAGGUUACAAGUACAACGUAAGGCUAUAAGGAUCUGGAAAGAUGAAGGAAAGUAUGAAGUAUAAAUUCGAAACACCAAAAAGGCAUGAAGCUGAAGCCUGUAAUACUAACUUCAGUUACAAGCCAUGAUCUAAGAAGCUCCAAAAGCUGAGACAGGCAAAACGUGGUAACUAGAACAAAGAAAAUUUAAUUAACUGCUAGCCAGUAAUUAAAAAAAUGGGGGGGGAGCUUUUGUUGAAAUAAAGGUCCCAUCUUCUCCCACGAUUUUUUGUAAGCUGUGCCUAGUCUUAUCAAUCUGUCCUUCCUUCUAUUUUGUCUAGGCUGUUUCAUUUGAACUGGACUACAGUAAAGACAAAGAUUCUGUCCCGCCAUACCUCUUUGUUUUACCUACUGUUCUACAAAACGCGCCAAAUCACUACUGACAAGUCAUACAGACUUCUCUACCAAAGCUGAAGAGGAAGAGCUUUUUGGUGCACUACAGCCACUGGAAAAGUUGCAGCUUCCAUCACUAUAAUACUUUCUGAGCUGGCAGGAUGCAUAAAAGACAGAACUGUGCUCCGUUUAAACUAAACAAAUAAAAACAAAAUCAAUAAACUGUAAGCAGAAUAUCAUGGGGGAGGCUGAGUGCACCAAUCUGAUGCAGAUCCAUGAAAAACAUUUCUGCAGGAAUACAAAAUAUAUUGUAAAAAUGAAUUUAAAAAAGCAACAGGACCACAUAUUAUGGAAGCAAACCACCAUCCUAAUCAAGAGAGAAAAGAUAACUGGAAGAAAAUGGCUGAAUUAUGGAGGUCCCAUGCAAAAAUAACUAGAUUUUGACACAUCAACUAAGCUGAUGGAAAGUUUUUCUAAAAUAAGAACUACUUUGCCACUAUAAAUAGCAUUGUAAUAUAUAUCCUCAGGCAAAAAUAAAAAAGUUUUGUUAUGGCA